AAUAAACAAUGCAACGUUUUUAAUAAAUGUAUAUAAAGCAACUAAUGUCAACAUGGACAAAAUCAUGAAUGUACUAAUUCGCUUUUACGAUGAUGACCUGGCCAAAGUAACAACACAAAAUCUAGAAAGUUUUGUUUUCACAAUAAUUCAAUGUAGGAUUAUUAUAUUAUUGCAAUAUGAAAAUCUACAUUGACUCUUAAUUAAAUAUA